rnacentral:rRNA from 1 species
UACGUAGGGUGCAAGCGUUAAUCGGAAUUACUGGGCGUAAAGUGUGCGCAGGCGGCCGCGCAAGUCGAGUGUGAAAGCCCCGGGCUUAACUUGGGAAUUGCGCUCGAAACUACGUGGCUGGAGUAUGGCAGAGGAAGGUGGAAUUCCACGUGUAGCGGUGAAAUGCGUAGAGAUGUGGAGGAACACCGAUGGCGAAGGCAGCCUUCUGGGCCACUACUGACGCUGAGAAGCGAAAGCAUGGGGAGCGAACAGG